GCCAGCGGCGAUGCGAUGAUUGAAUGCACCAGAUCCCAAUUGAUCACUGAAGUUAAGCAACGUUUUGCCUGAUUGGUAUGUAUUCAUAUGGGUGACCAUUUGAGCAGUUGUCUGUUGCUGGCU
rnacentral:rRNA from 1 species